CUGGGAAAGAGCUGGGGGGGGGUCGGGUUGGGGGUCCCUGGGUGUUGGGGGGGUGCAGGGUUGGAGGUGGCCCCUCAUCUCAUUUGGAGCCUUUCUGGGUGAAUCCAAAGUGCUACAGGGAUUGCUCAGCGGGAUGAUGGCUUGGGAUGGCGGGUCCCCCUCCACAGGAGCGGGGCUGGCAGGACAGCCGAAGGCUCCUCUGAGGAUCUUGAGAAAUGGUCUUCCCAGUGAUCUGCCCUUGUGCCAGGAGCUGCCUGCUGGGACCUGGGGAGUCCCACCUGCCUCUGCUGCGCAGAAGAUGAUCGCCACCGCUGCUUGUGCCGUUCGGAGAGGAUGGAUCCGGGUGAGGUGGGAUGAGAUGGUGCUGACCCCGCUGCUGCCACGCGCUGCCUGCCGCCUGCCUGUGCUGCCUGCACCCGCGGGAAGCUGGAAGGCACUUGUGCCCGCCGCGGGAGCUGCUGAGGCCAAAACUCUCCGGCUGCCAACAACGG